GUCCUGAAAUCGAAUCAUUUUUACUGGAAUUAUACGUUACGAUUUUUUCAAUCGAUCUGUAUAUGCAAAUAAGGAAAACCCUAUUUUGAUAAAUUCUAGUUGCCUUUUCGAUCUGCUGUUGUCAUUUCUUCUUCAAUGGCGGAUCAAGAGGAAGAGGACCUGAGAAUGGCUCUAAGAAUGAGUAUGCAAAACUCACCUCCAGAACCUAAGCGUAGCAAGCCAAGGGACGCUGCCGGUGCUCCUGUGGUUUCGCCGGAAGAGUCCCGGCUGCUCCAGCGAGAGCUCAUGGCCGCGGCAGCUGAGAAGCGGAUGCGCGCAGCAAAAAUCGCCUCGCCAUCGAAAGCCAUAGAUAGAAGCCCCUGUAAAAGCACAGAUGUUGCUAAAAAAGAUAAGGAUUUAGGCCCCAAGGGGGGCAACAUGGGAAAAGAAUUAUCCAGCGAUGAGGCAAAUCAGUUGUUCUCAAUGGUGUUUGGGAG
rnacentral:misc_RNA from 1 species